UCCCUUGUGGUCCAGCGGUUAAGACUCUGCACUUCCCAUGCAAGGGACACAGGUUUGAUCCCUGGUUGGGGAA
rnacentral:tRNA from 1 species